rnacentral:rRNA from 1 species
AGAAUCAACGCUGGCGGCGUGCCUAACACAUGCAAGUCGAACGAGAAAGUGGAGCAAUCCAUGAGUAAAGUGGCGCACGGGUGAGUAACACGUGACUAACCUACCCUUGAGUGGGGAAUAACCUAGGGAAACCUGGGCUAAUACCGCAUAACACCUACGGGUCAAAGGAGCAAUUCGCUUAAGGAGGGGGUCGCGGCAGAUUAGCUAGUUGGCGGGGUAAUGGCCCACCAAGGCAGUGAUCUGUAUCCGGCCUGAGAGGGCGCACGGACACACUGGAACUGAAACACGGUCCAGACUCCUACGGGAGGCAGCAGUGGGAAUUUUGCGCAAUGGGGGAAACCCUGACGCAGCAACGCCGCGUGGAGGAUGAAGUCCCUUGGGACGUAAACUCCUUUCGACCGGGAAGAUUAUGACGGUACGGAAGAAGAACGCCCGGCUAACUUCGCGCCAGCAGCCGC